GACGAACCGUGCGACCGUUAUUCGGAAUCACUGGGCUUAAAGCGCGUGUAGGCGGGCCGGCACGUCCGGUGCUGAAAUCCCCCGGCUCAACCGGGGAAGGGGCACGGAUACGACCGGCCUGGAGGGGGGUAGGGGGAGCCGGAACUUCCGGUGGAGCGGUGAAAUGCGUUGAGAUCGGAAGGAACGCCCGUGGCGAAAGCGGGCUCCUGGACCCCACCUGACGCUGAGACGCGAAAGCCAGGGGAGCGAACGGG
rnacentral:rRNA from 1 species